rnacentral:tRNA from 1 species
GCUGGGGCUAUACCUCAGUUGGUAGAGUGCUUGCCUAGCAUGCAUAAAGCCCUGGGUUCAAUUCCCAGCACAACA